AACGUAGGUGGCAAGCGUUAUCCGGAUUUACUGGGCGUAAAGAGCUCGUAGGCGGUUUGUCAGGUCGGGCGUGAAAUCUCCUGGCUCAACUGGGAGGGUGCGUCUGAAACCGAUGGACUUGAGGGCCUUAGAGGGACAGGGAAUUCCCGGAGUAGUGGUAAAAUGCGUUGAGAUCGGGAGGAACACCAGUGGCGAAGGCGCUGUCCUGGGAGGAACCUGACGCUGAAGAGCGAAGGCGUGGGGAGCGAACGGG
rnacentral:rRNA from 1 species